rnacentral:rRNA from 1 species
AGCAGCCGCGGUAAUUCCAGCUCCAAUAGCGUAUAUUAAAGUUGUUGCAGUUAAAAAGCUCGUAGUUGAACUUCGGGAUCAAGGAAUCGGUCAUGCCUUGGUAUGCACUGGUUUUAUUGGUUCUCACCUUCUAAAGAACCAUAAUGUCAUUCAUUUGAUGUUAUGGGGAAUUAGGACUGUUACCUUGAAAAAAUUAGAGUGUUUAAAGCAAGCUUACGCUUGAAUACAUUAGCAUGGAAUAAUGAAAUAGGACAUCCGAUUCUAUUUUGUUGGUUUCUAGGAUCGAUGUAAUGAUUAAUAGGGAUAGUUGGGGGCAUUAGUAUUCAAUUGUCAGAGGUGAAAUUCUUGGAUUUAUUGAAGACUAACUACUGCGAAAGCAUUUGCCAAGGAUGUUUUC